UACGUAGGUCCCGAGCGUUGUCCGGAUUUAUUGGGUGUAAAGGGAGCGUAGACGGCAGUGCAAGUCUGGAGUGAAAGGCGGGGGCUCAACCCCCGGACUGCUCUGGAAACUGUACGGCUGGAGUGCAGGAGAGGUAAGUGGAAUUCCUAGUGUAGCGGUGAAAUGCGUAGAUAUUAGGAGGAACACCAGUGGCGAAGGCAGCUUACUGGACUGUAACUGACGUUGAGGCUCGAAAGCGUGGGGAGCAAACAGG
rnacentral:rRNA from 1 species